rnacentral:rRNA from 1 species
AUUGAACGCUGGCGGUAGGCCUAACACAUGCAAGUCAAACGCGAAAGUCCUUCGGGAUGAGUAGAGUGGCGGACGGGUGAGUAACGCGUAGGAAUCUAUCCUGUAGUGGGGGAUAACGUUUCGAAAGGAACGCUAAUACCGCAUACGCCCCAAGGGGGAAAGCGGGGGAUCUUCGGACCUCGUGCUAUAGGAGGAGCCUGCGUCGGGUUAGCUAGUUGGUGAGGUAAAGGCUCACCAAGGCGACGAUCCGUAGCUGGUCUGAGAGGAUGAUCAGCCACACCGGAACUGAGACACGGUCCGGACUCCUACGGGAGGCAGCAGUGGGGAAUAUUGCGCAAUGGGCGAAAGCCUGACGCAGCCAUACCGCGUGUGUGAAGAAGGCCUUCGGGUUGUAAAGCACUUUCAGUGGGGAGGAAAAGCUGGUGGCUAAUAUCCAUCGGCCGUGAUGCUACCCACAGAAGAAGCACCGGCUAAUUCCGUGCCAGCCGCCGCCGUAACAC